rnacentral:misc_RNA from 1 species
UUUCCGUAGGUGAACCUGCGGAAGGAUCAUUAACGAGUUAGGGUCUUUCAGGCCCGCCCUCCCAACCCUAUGUUUCUUUAACCUCUGUUGCUUCGGCGGACCCGUCUCACGACGGCCGUAGUACCGCCGCGUUCCGUCCUUUGGCCCGCAUCCGCCGAGAGCCAACCACUUUACACUUUGAAUGAAUCGGGUCAUUAUGCCGAAGUCAAUGAUUAAAUUAAAGCAAAACUUUCAACAACGGAUCUCUUGGUUCUG